GAUGAACGCUAGCUGGAGGCUUAAUACAUGCAAGUCGAGCGGGAUUGGUAGCAAUACCAUGAGAGCGGCGCACGGGUGAGUAACGCGUACACGACCUACCUCUGACAGGGGGAUAGCCCUGGGAAACUGGGAUUAAUACCGCAUAUUAUUCUGAUUAAUAAAGGAUUGGAAUGAAAGUUCAGGCGGUCAGAGAUGGGUGUGCGUCUGAUUAGCUAGUUGGUGGGGUAACGGCCUACCAAGGCGAUGAUCAGUAGGGGGCGUGAGAGCGUGGUCCCCCACACGGGUACUGAGACACGGACCCGACUCCUACGGGAGGCAGCAGUAAGGAAUAUUGGACAAUGGCCGCAAGGCUGAUCCAGCCAUCCAGCGUGCAGGAAGAAGGCCCUAUGGGUUGUAAACUGCUUUUAUCAGGGAAGAAACCUCUGGAUUUACUCCGGAGCUGACGGUACCUGAAGAAUAAGCACCGGCUAACUCCGUGCCAGCAGCCGCCGUAA
rnacentral:rRNA from 1 species